rnacentral:rRNA from 1 species
UACGAAGGGUGCAAACGUUGCUCGGAAUUAUUGGGCGUAAAGCGCACGUAGGCGGCUCUGCAAGUCGGAUGUGAAAUCCCUCGGCUCAACCAAGGAAGUGCAUCCGAAACUGCGGAGCUUGAGUACUUAAGAGGAUCGCGGAAUUCCCGGUGUAGAGGUGAAAUGCGCAGAUAUCAGGAGGAACACCGGUGGCGAAGGCGGGCCUCUGGGCAACAACUGACGCUGAGGAGCGAAAGCGUGGGGAGCGAACAGG